AGUGCUACUUUGGGUCCAACCGUCCUAGUCCAAACUAGUGUUCUCUCUCUCUCUCUGCUCCAACUCCCCGCGUGUGCUAUUUCUGUUAGACUCGUUCUCUCUCCCUCUCUCAUGAAUCCAAACUAACUGCAAACAUUCUUUAGGGUUUUUGUCCCUCUUUCCCAUGAUCCAAACUCAAUAACACUGACAACCUCAAUUCCUCAGAAAAUUGAGUAAAACCCCAUCAUGGGUAUUUCGUUUAAGGUCUCAAAGACAGGUACCAGGUUCCGUCCCAAGCCUCCUCUCCCCUCCGAGACCAACGUUGUUGCCGAUGACGUGUCCGAGAUCAAUGCCUCCUCCAAUUCUCGAAAGCUCCAGGUUGAAAGAAAGGAGAAUGUGGCUGGUAUGUCUGGUUCUUCAGAGUCCUCUGAAGCGCUGCUCGUAUCUGCAGAGACUGAGGCUUCCUUCACGUUAAAUCUCUUCCCAGAUGGAUAUUCGAUUGGAAAACCCUCUGAGAAUGAGAAUGCUCAUCAAGAUGUUCCGAAGUUGCUGCACCCAUAUGAUAGGACAUCAGAAACUCUCUUCUCGGCAAUUGAAUCUGGUCGGUUGCCUGGAGAUAUUUUAGAUGAUAUUCCUUGCAAGUACAUUGAUGGAACACUUGUGUGUGAGGUUCGAGAUUAUCGUAAAUGUGCUUUUGAACAAGGGGCCGCCAGUCCGCCUACUGACGGAUCCCUUAUUGUAAAUAAGGUCCGCCUCAGAAUGUCACUGGAAAAUGUAGUGAAGGAUAUCCCCCUGAUCUCGGAUAAUUCUUGGAGUUAUGGUGAUCUGAUGGAAGUAGAGUCUCGUAUAUUGAAAGCUUUGCAACCACAACUUCAUCUAGAUCCCACUCCCAAGUUGGAUAGACUAUGUAAGAAUCCAACUCCCACAAAGCUUGAUUUGGCUUUGACCAGUAUACGGAGAAAGAGGUUGAGGCCGAUGCCAGAAGUUACUGUUACAUCUAACAGCAAGACACAUGGAAAGAAAGUUUGCAUAGAUAGAGUUCCAGAAAGUUCUAAUAGUAGGUUGGGAGAUUCAGGAAUCCUUGCAGGCAAUAUGACGCCAAACCAAGGCCAUGAAAAUUUGAUCACUCAAAAUUUGAGCGCGAAUAACAUCGCCUUAAGAUCUAAAAAUUUUAUGCCCGAUGUUUCUGUUCCAGCACCACACCAAUCAAGGUAUCAAAUGGGGGUCGGGACUCCAAGAAAUAUGCAGGACCAUGGAUCAGGACCUGUUGUCAAUGUGUCAGCUUCCCCUGGUGGACAGGAGAUGAUGAUCUCGUAUGCUGACAAUGGUACCUCCAAUGCCUCUCAUCCUGGAAAGAGAGAGCAUCAAGAUGGGCCAAUGUCACCUUUAUCUUUCAAUAAGAGACCGAGGUCCUCAGCAGUUGGCCUUGAUGCAAUGCAACAUCAGCAAAUAGGGCCUAUAGACAGCUUCAAUGGAUCAGAUAUGAAUUGGAAGAAUCCAUUGUUGCAGCAUCCUAUUGCCAAAGGUAUCCAAUAUCCAAAUACAGGAACUCAGAAGUUUUCCCCCCAGGUGUUUGAAGGGGCACUGAAUCAAGAUACAGGGACUAUGCCGUUUGCUGUAGGACAGCCAAACAUGAGAUUUGGUGCCAAGGAUGAGCAGUUUGAGACAGGUAAAGUAGAAGGAUCAGAGCUCAGUGGGAUUAAGAAUGAUAUGCAGAUGGUGGAAGGAGAAACAAGUCAUCUUGACCCGCAGCUAUCACGAUUUCCACAAAGAUUACCACAGCAUUCAUUCAUGAGAUCCAGUUAUUCUCAGACAUCCUGGAAUAACCUUGGUCAAAAUAUUGAGAAAGAUGCAAGAAAGGAUGACCAACUCUCCAAAAGAAAAUCAGUGCAAAGUCCCCGGUUGUCUGCUGGGGCUACGAUUCAGUCUCCAUUAUCAUCAAAAUCAGCGGAGUUUUCUACUGGUUCUGUAGGACCCCACUUUGGAGUCGGAGCUAAUUCUGCCUUUGGGGCAUCACAGAAGGAAAAGGCAGCAAUGAGCUCAGUUACUGGUAUUGGAACUCCAUCUUUGACUUCCAGUGCUAAUGAAUCCAUGCAAAGGCAACACCAGGCUCAUGUUGCUGCAAAACGGAAAUCGAACUCCCUCCCUAAAACCUCAGCAAUGAGUGGUGUCGGAUCUCCGGCCAGUGUUAGUAAUAUAAGUAUGCCAUUAAAUGCGAAUAGUCCCUCUGUUGGAACUCCAUCUUCGGCUGGCCAAAGCAUGCUUGAAAGAUUGUCAAAAAUUGAACAAGUGACCAUGAGGUAUCAACUCAACGGAAGAAAGAAUAAGGUUGAUAACUACUCUAGGAAGCCCAAUUCAUAUCCAGCUCAACAUCUUAUGGCUUGUCUCUCAAAUGUUUCGAAUAAUGAAGAUUUUAAAGAUGAUUCAUGUAUGAGCCCUUUAUCGAAGUCACUUGUUGGUGGCAGCAUGAAUAUCUGCAAGACCAGAAUUUUAAAUUUUGUGGAGCAAGUUCAAGGAGCUGGUUUUUCUUAUGUUCCUAAGGUACGAACGAGGAUGAUCAUGUCAGAGAAGCCAAAUGAUGGUACUGUAGCAAUGUACCAUGGAGAAAUAGAGGAUGGUGAAUUUCUAGCUGCGGAGGAUUAUCUUCCUACGUUGCCCAAUACUCAUUUGGCUGAUUUGCUUGCAGCACAGUUCUGUUCACUGAUGGUACAUGAUGGGUAUAGCCUUAUGGAAGAUCAUAUCCAACCAAAGCCAACCCGCAUGUAUCUUCCCCCAGGCAAUAAUGGUGCUGGUUUGCCUCGUAAUAAUUCUGCAGUUGAAAUGCAACAAUAUGCAGAUGCAGUUUCAGUUCAACCGUCUAAUGAUGUUGCCAAGCCAAUUAAUGCUGGUAAUGCAUCCCUUAAUCCAGCCCAAAAUCUUCUACCCACCACGAGGAUGCUGCCACCUGGGAACUCCCAGGCCUUGCAGAUGUCUCAAGGGCUCUUGUCAGGAACUUCCAUGCCACCGCGUCCACAACAGCUGGAUUCACAAUCAUCACUUCAGCAGCAGCAGCAACAUCAGCAGCAACAGCAGCAGCAGCAGCAGCAGCAGCAGCAACAACAACAACAACAGCAACAGCAACAGCAACAGCAACAACAGCAGCAACAAAUGCAACAACAGCAACCUCAGCAAAGCCAACACUCCUUUAUUCAACAACAGCAUCCCCAGCUCCAGAGAUCAAUGAUGCUUGCAGCUGGAAAUCCACUUUCACAAUUGAAUGCAAUCGGGCAGACGUCCAAUGUACAGUUAGGUAGCAUGGUAAAUAAGUUCCCAUUGCAAUAUCAGGUGUACCAGCAGCAGCACCAGCAACAACAACAGCACCAGCAGCAACAACAACAACAGCCGCAAAUGCAGAGGAAAAUGAUGAUGGGAGCGACUAUGGGUAUGGGGACCCUGGGAAAUAACAUGGUUGGGCUUUCUGGGCUUGGCAAUACCAUGGGCAUGGGAGCUGCAAGGGGGAUAGGAGGAGCUGGAAUGUCAGCAUCUAUGACCCCUAUCUCUGGAAUGGGAAAUGUGGGUCAGAACCCAUUGAAUGCAAUAAACCAGCAACGACUUCAAGCUCUCAUGGCAAACAAAAUGCGGAUGCAAAACCGAGGCAGCAUGUUAGGGGUCCCUCAAUCAAGCAUGGCUGGUAUGUCAGGAGCCAGACAGAUGCAUCCUGGAUCUGCUGGUCUGUCAAUGCUGGGUCAGACUCUGAACCGAAAUAACAUGAUGCAACAAGCAGCAAUGGGGCCUAUGGGUCCACCAACACCAAAGUUGAUAGCAGGGAUGAAUAUUUACAUGAACUCGCAGCAGCAACAACAGCAGCAACAACAGCAACAGCAGCAGCAACAGCAGCAAAUGCAACAGCAGUUGCAACCGCAACAAAUGCAAUUGCAGUUGCAACAACAGCAGCAAUUGCAGCAGCCUCAGCAGCAAGAUACGAAUUCACCGCUACAGGCCGUUCUUUCGCCACCACAGGUGAGCUCCCCCUCAACUAUGGGAAUUUCACAAAUGAACCAGCAAAUUCAGCAGCAGGCUAGCCCACAGCAAAUGAGCCAAAGAACUCCGAUGAGUCCACAGCUGAGCUCAGGGGCUAUUCAUGCCAUGAGUGCCGGUAAUCCAGAGGCUUGUCCUGCAAGCCCACAGCUGAGCUCUCAAACGCAUGGCUCCGUUGGUAGCAUCGCAAAUUCUCCUAUGGACCUUCAAGCUGCAAACAACUCUACCGGUAAUGCAUAGUAAGAAAAGAAAAAAAGUAAAAGCUUGGGCACGGUCUCUGCGAGUUCAUGGUUCGGUUGAUCUGUCAGAAGCUUCCCCUCAAUUCUGGAACUGGUGAAGCAAAGCAGUUAAAUUAUCAUGUAGAGCAAUUACACAUUUAACGUUUAUAUAGAUGUUGAACAAUAUCGGGCAGAAGUAGUAUGAUGGUACUCGCUGUCGCCUUUACGGGGAAGUUCACAGAAUGAAGCAGUGGAACUUGCAUGCCUAGAUCAUGACUAGACUAGCAAACUUCACUAGCCACAAUGGGAGUUGGAAAUGUCAGAGCGAUGAAAGUGGGUUAUCAUAGCAAAAUCUCUGGUGCAUUUUCGAAGAUUUUGUGAAAUCUCCAGUGCAAGUUCUGGAAAUCGGCUAAGGUCCCAAGGAAAUUACUUGCACCGAAACAGUAUGUAUGUGAGUAUUCAAACUCUCUCUUAUUUACAUACAGUCGGCAAUCUAAAUCCAUAAUUUAACCGUUCAAAAAUUACAUUAUGUUGUAGUAUACAUGAAAUUGUGGUAAAACUAUUAUGUCUAUAUCAUGUAAAUAGCAUUAUUAUGGCUAUGUAUGAUAGCACUUAAGAGUGGAGAAGUUUGGUAUCAAUCAUGUUAAUGUUAUGUAUGAAAGCACUUAAGUAAAUGGAUGAUAUUAAAUGUAAUAGUGGUAAGAGUAAUGGAAUGUAAUAGUAUUACUCCAUGCUUUUUAUCCCUAUAUAAACCCUCCAUUGUGAGAAGAAUAAACACACCAAUUCACUCUUCA